rnacentral:misc_RNA from 1 species
GAUGAAGAACGCAGCGAAAUACGAUAAGUAGUGUGAAUUGCAGAAUUCAGUGAAUCAUCGAAUCUUUGAACGCACAUUGCGCCCCUUGGUAUUCCAUGGGGCAUGCCUGUUCGAGCGUCAUUUGUACCUUCAAGCUCUGCUUGGUGUUGGGUGUUUGUCUCGCCUCUGCGUGUAGACUCGCCUCAAAACAAUUGGCAGCCGGCGUAUUGAUUUCGGAGCGCAGUACAUCUCGCGCUUUGCACUCAUAACGACGACGUCCAAAAGUACAUUUUUACACUCUUGACCUCGGAUCAGGUAGGGAUACCCGCUGAACUUAAGCAUAUCAAUAAGCGGAGGA